rnacentral:rRNA from 1 species
UAUGGCUCAGAUUGAACGCUGGCGGCGUGCUUAACACAUGCAAGUCGCGCGUGAAGGACUUCGGUCCGAGUAAAGCGGCGCACGGGUGAGUAACGCGUGGAUGAUCUACCCAUGAGUUAGGAAUAACGGCUGGAAACGGUCGCUAAUACCCAAAUACGCUCCGAUUUCAACUUCGGGGGAAAGGUGGCCUCUGCUUGCAAGCUACUGCUCAUGGAUGAGUCCGCGUCCCAUUAGCUAGUUGGUGGGGUAACGGCCCACCAAGGCGACGAUGGGUAGCCGGUCUGAGAGGAUGACCGGCCACACUGGGACUGGAACACGGCCCAGACUCCUACGGGAGGCAGCAGUGGGGAAUAUUGCGCAAUGGGCGAAAGCCUGACGCAGCGACGCCGCGUGAGGGAUGAAGGUCCUCGGAUCGUAAACCUCUGUCAGGAGGGAAGAACCGCCACGGUGCUAAUCAGCCGUGGUCUGACGGUACCUCCAAAGGAAGCACCGGCUAACUCCGUGCCAGCAGCCGC